rnacentral:rRNA from 1 species
UACGUAGGGGGCAAGCGUUGUCCGGAUUUAUUGGGCGUAAAGAGCGUGUAGGCGGCCAUGUAGGUCCGUUGUGAAAACUCGAGGCUCAACCUCGAGACGCCGAUGGAAACCAUGUGGCUAGAGUCCGGAAGAGGAGAGUGGAAUUCCUGGUGUAGCGGUGAAAUGCGUAGAUAUCGUAAGGAAGACCAGUGGCGAAGGCGGGUCUCUGGACAGUUCCUGACGCUGAGGCACGAAGGCCAGGGGAGACAAACGGG